rnacentral:pre_miRNA from 1 species
UAGCUACUCCCUCCGUCCGAAAAUAUUUAUCACCAAAAUGGAUAAAAGGAGAUGUAUCUAGAUGUAUUUUAGUUCGAGAUACAUCUCUUUUUGUCCAUUUUGAUGACAAGUAUUUUCGGACGGAGGGAGUAUAAU